rnacentral:rRNA from 1 species
UACGUAGGUGGCAAGCGUUGUCCGGAUUUACUGGGCGUAAAGAGCGCGCAGGCGGUCGUCCAAGUCGCGUGUGAAAGCCCCCGGCUCAACUGGGGAGGGUCACGCGAUACUGGUCGACUCGAAGGCAGGAGAGGGUAGUGGAAUUCCCGGGUGUAGCGGUGGAAUGCGUAGAGAUCCGGAAGAACACCGGUGGCGAAGGCGGCCUGCUGGGCAGUUGCUGACGCUGAUGCGCGACAGCGUGGGGAGCAAACAGG